GAUGAACGCUAGCUACAGGCUUAACACAUGCAAGUCGAGGGGCAGCAGGGAUUUAGCUUGCUAAAUUCGCUGGCGACCGGCGCACGGGUGCGUAACGCGUAUCCAACUUUCCCGUUACUCUCGGAUAGCCUUCCGAAAGGGAGAUUAAUACGAGAUGGUGUUUAAUUUCGCAUGUUAUUAGAACUAAAGAUUCAUCGGUAACGGAUAGGGAUGCGUGACAUUAGAUAGUUGGCGGGGUAACGGCCCACCAAGUCCACGAUGUCUAGGGGUUCUGAGAGGAAGGUCCCCCACACUGGAACUGAGACACGGUCCAGACUCCUACGGGAGGCAGCAGUGAGGAAUAUUGGUCAAUGGCCGAGAGGCUGAACCAGCCAAGUAGCGUGAAGGAUGAAGGUUCUAUGGAUUGUAAACUUCUUUUAUACGGGAAUAACAUCACCUACGUGUAGGUGCCUGCAUGUACCGUAUGAAUAAGCAUCGGCUAACUCCGUGCCAGCAGCCG
rnacentral:rRNA from 1 species